CUCGUAGGUGGCCAACUAAGUCAUACGUGAAAUCCCUCGGCUUAACCGGGGAACUGCGUCUGAUACUGGAUGGCUUGAGUUUGGGAGAGGGAUGCGGAAUUCCAGGUGUAGCGGUGAAAUGCGUAGAUAUCUGGAGGAACACCGGUGGCGAAGGCGGCAUCCUGGACCAACACUGACACUGAGGAGCGAAAGCCAGGGGAGCAAACG
rnacentral:rRNA from 1 species